CUACUAGAGCACCUGAGCCAAGUAGGUGCUGGAGAUUCAGGACAAACAGGAUGUGCCAAUUCCAGUCCAAAUGCUUGCUCAGCCUUUAGAGACUUAAAACUGCCAAUCCCACACCCAAGCAGUACAGCCUCUAAAGAAGUGUAAAUUGUAAUAUGCUUAAACUUUAGGCAGACAUGGGAUGAAUUUAAAUGCCUAUCCUACAGUGCACUGGCCCAUAGGGAGGAUCAGAGCACUCAGAGAGAUGUUUUAUUAGUCCCAAACUACUUGCUUCCCCCAAAAGUGGGGAAUUGAUUCAGCUGUUGUUUCCUUCCCACUUCCACAGUAUGUGGAGUGUGGAUGGAGAAUGCUAAAGCCAGAAUGAACUUGAGCUGGGAGGCACCAGGAGCAGCACUGAACAAGAGGGCAUGCCAUCAUUGCAAUAGUAGAGGAAGAGGAGUGGUGCUGUGGCAAAAACCUCAUGAAAACUUUAACAUUCAAGAGCACCAUGUGGAUUUGGAGUGUUCCUGGAAGAUUUUGAUUCCAUAGAUGAAAAACAUUAUUUUGGUCACUUGACAUUUGAUUUAAUCCUCUUCCUACUUGUCUCAUGGUAUUUUAAAGGGGAUCUAUAUUCACUUUCGUCAGAUCAAGUCACUUGCAUUACAAAAGAUAAGUACCACUCCUUGGCAUGAAUGAAUUCAGAAAUAAAUACUAAAAAUUAACUUUCUAAUAAUGUAAAAUUCCAAAAUGCCUGCAAUAGGCAGACAAGGUUAUUUGGGUAAAUGUGAUGUUUUUUAUUAGACCAACUGAAAAGUUGGUGUGGGAAAGCCUGCAGUGAGAAGAAUGGGUGCUUUUUUCUCCAUUAAAUGAUCUAUGUUGUAAACACAAAUGAAUGAAAACUGUCUCAAUGAAAUACAACAUGAUCUUAUGUGACAAGAAAGAAUUUUUAAUUUAAUGCAUUAACCCCUUUUUUAAUUGGUUCCUUCCUUUAAUUGAGUCCUGGUCAGUCUAUAUUAAUCUCGGAGGUAUUUAUUUGACAUGGACAGAAACAGACAUCAUAAUGGAACAAAAUGGAAAAAGGAAUAAAAUAUAUAUUACCAAAUAACUUAUUAUGGUUAGGACUUGAUAAGGGGACUCAGAGAUUAGAAGCUGUAGUUAAAUGACCAGUGAAAGUUCAUUCCAACAGUUUAACAUGUUUUUUAAUUAAAGUUAAAAAAAAUAAGAAAAAUGUAAGGCCAAUUGGCAUAUACUCAGUAUUUCUUCAAAAACUAACUACUCCUUUUAUUGUACUAUGUUUGAUUUCUCUUGCAUUUCUUGCAUGUAAGAAAAGAAACCUCAGUUAAAAAUGCAAUGGGUUAUGCUCCUACUUCUUAUCAAGCUUAUAAUGAAACAAUUAUUAAGACUUUAAUUUUUAGAGUAAAACAAACCAUUCCAGUGAAGACUUAAGCAAGUGACCAUCAUUCUAGUUCAAAAACAGAUUACCUGAAUAACUCUCAUGCAUCCGUAAAUCCUCUUGGCACUUACACAUUUAAUCAAACUGCUCUGUGCAUACUGGCUUAUGGACGUAUGUAGUGUUGUGCAUCUCCUUGCUUAUAAAAUGGUUUAUUAAAGAAAUUAAACCUUUCAAAUUUUGGUACUACUGAUCUGCAAAAGAAAAUAAUUCCCAAACAGUGUGUGUAUUAGACAUGCAUAAUGAAUUAAAAAUUGGAAAUCUAGUUGAGUUUUAAAAAUCACUUCUUUCCCCUCCCCCUCUUCCUUCCCCUUCUUUAUUUAUCCUUGGCUGUCUCUUGCCUUGUCCUAAGCAGGGCUACAAAAUAAAGUAGGUAUUCACAGCAGAUGCAUUUAUGCAUGGCUUCUACAAGGAACACUGUUGCCCUUGUUCCUUAUAGCUGAUCUCUAAAUAAUAAUUAAAG